rnacentral:rRNA from 1 species
AUUGAACGCUGGCGGCAUGCCUUACACAUGCAAGUCGAACGGCAGCACGGGUGCUUGCACCUGGUGGCGAGUGGCGAACGGGUGAGUAAUACAUCGGAACACGUCCUGUAGUGGGGGAUAGCCUGGCGAAAGCCGGAUUAAUACCGCAUACGAUCUACGGAUGAAAUCGGGGGACCUUCGGGCCUCGCGCGGUAGGGGUGGCCGAUGGCUGAUUAGCUAGUUGUGGGGGUAAAGGCCUACCAAGGCGACGUUCAGUAGCUGGUCUGAGAGGACGACCAGCCACACUGGGACUGAGACACGGCCCAGACUCCUACGGGAGGCAGCAGUGGGGAAUUUUGGACAAUGGGCGAAAGCCUGAUCCAGCAAUGCCGCGUGUGUGAAGAAGGCCUUCGGGUUGUAAAGCACUUUUGUCCGGAAAGAAAUCCUUGGCCCUAAUACGGUCGGGGGAUGACGGUACCGGAAGAAUAAGCACCGGCUAACUACGUG